ACCCCAAUAGCUCAGUUGGACAGAGCAACUGCCUUCUAAGCAGUAGGUCGCUGGUUCGAGCCCAGCUUGGGGUGCCA
rnacentral:tRNA from 1 species